rnacentral:rRNA from 1 species
CACGUAGGGUGCGAGCGUUUGUCCGGAAUUAUUGGGCGUAAAGAGCUCGUAGGCGGUGUGUCGCGUCGGCCGUGAAAACCUGCAGCUUAACUGUGGGCUUGCGGUCGAUACGGGCAUCACUGGAGUUCGGCAGGGGAGACUGGAAUCCUGGUGUAGCGGUGAAAUGCGCAGAGUAUCAGGAGGAACACCGGUGGCGAAGGCGGGUCUCUGGACAGUUCCGUGACGCUGAGGCACGAAGGCCAGGGGAGCAAA